CAGAUACUGUAACGAACCUUGAACCGAUUCAUACCUUCUUCAACAACCUCGAAGCUCGACAGACCUUACUCACCACCAUAACUGACCUCAACAAAACCCUAACUACCCAUUUCACUAGCAUAAACAAUACUCUCUGUCAAAAAUCGGAAACCCUCGAUACUCGUAUCAAAACUUUCAAGGAGAAGACGGAAGAUGCCUUGCUGAAGAUCCAGAAUCGAGAGAACGCGUUACCCGAUAGGGAAUCGAGCAUGGGUGCUCGAAUUGUGGAAAUGAAGGAUGCUGCUAUAUCUGAG
rnacentral:misc_RNA from 1 species